UACGGAGGGUGCAAACGUUGCUCGGAAUCAUUGGGCGUAAAGCGCACGUGAGCGGCUAGAUAAGUCGGGUGUGAAAGCCCUGGGCUCAACCCAGGAAGUGCAUUCGAAACUGUCUAGCUUGAAUCUCGGAGGGGGUCAGAGAAUUCCCGGUGUAGAGGUGAAAUUCGUAGAUAUCGGGAGGAAUACCAGUGGCGAAGGCGCUGACCUGGACGAAGAUUGACGCUGAGGUGCGAAAGCGCGGGGAGCAAACAGG
rnacentral:rRNA from 1 species